ACAAUGGCCUUUUAAACUCUCUGUUAGUAUCUCUACCAGAUAUUUGGUUCAAUUCUUUAGUAGGGAAGAGUAAUGGGAAACCAUUAGAAGAACUAUAUUUUGUAAUGCUAGAUAUAGAUCAUGUUGUAACCUGUAUUAGUGAACUUAGUUAAUACUAAAUUUAUUUAUUGUUUAUAAAAGACUGCAAGGAGUUUGCUCAUUCUAAGGAUAUAUAUUAGAUUUGUUUUUUUUUAAGAUUGAUUGAAAAAAAUUCAACUUAUUUCCUUAACCCAACAAGUACAGUGGAAUGUAGUUAUAAUAAAAAUCUCCUUAGAAAAGGCCAUAUUUCUAUGUUAUUGGGAAUCUGGUUAAAUUUAACUUAACAACCAAUUAAACUGCAUUUAUUUACCUAAGGCUUUGCAAACGCAUAGCAGGAAACUAUUUUCCAAGUUCAAGUUUCACUGUGGAUUUCAAGGGAGUUUCCACAAAGCAAUUUCCCACAAAAAUCUCUCAGCCAAGUUCUAUAAUGUCAAGUGUAACAGACUCAAUAAUUGAAUCUUUAUCCAGCAUGGAGAUGAGAUGGCUUCUGAUCUAGUAUUACACCAGCUAGAACAUGUCACAGGGAAAUAAAGUCUAAAAAUAAGAACAAGCAGAUGUAUUGGGUUUUGGAUUCAGCUGAUUAACCAGUGCAGCUUUGCAGAUGGGAACCUUCAGAACUGAUUCUACAACCAAGGUCACAGAUCAUCUUGGGGAUAGAAAUGCAGACUAGGAUCCAGUAGAUAUUCCUUCUAUUGCUUGACUCACCUAAGGAGAGAAAAGGGUAAAUUAAGAUGAAAAGUCAGAAAUACUCCGUGUUCUCAGUCUGCAGUUGUUAAAGAGACAAUGUAAUAAAAAUUCUUCCACUUGUUUAUGGAAAUAAUGGACUCAAGUCAGAUAAUUUGCUUCUCUAGGAGGGCAGACAUAUCCUCCCUUUCUAUGAAAGGGAGUUAAUUGUUUUACUAAUAAAAAUCAAAAUUAUGUAAAGGACAGGAAGGCAUUGCAGAAGGACAUGGCGUCAUGCACAUGUGCAGGUACAAACAAGAAGCCUGACAUAAGCAGUUACAGUUUUGUCAUUUUAAAAAGUCUAAUAGACAAUAAUUCAGUUUUUUUCCCCCGGUAGCUACAUUUAUACUCAAAUAAUCACCAGCUUGGACUGUAAUUGAAGAUUGGAAGAAUGAGAAUUCAACCUCAAUUUUUAUGCGGCAAUUAUAUGUUUAGCUUUCAUUUACCUAAGCUUGAAUUUUAUUGUGUUCAGAUUUUUUUUCCCAUAUGUACUACCCCUUUACCCAUUAAUGGAAUUCUGCACUUUCUUCAGUCUGGCUCUCUGAUUGUAACAGAAAAGAAUGUCCAUAUGACUCAUCCUCUUCAAUUUUGGAGAAUAAACUGAGGCCCGGAGUAAACAA